AUGUCUAGCUGCUUGUUUCGCUGAGUCCGGGCCAGCUGCCGGUGAACCGUGUGUAUUUCCUUUUAUUUAUAACGGGGUCAAAUAUAAUGGUUGUGCACCUCUUCAUAGCGAAGACAAAGGUUUGCAGUUUUGGUGUUCAACAAAAACAGAUGUGAACAGAUAUCAUGUUCGAGGACCUUCAGAUAACGCUGGAAAAUAUGUUGGAUUCUGUAGUUCAUCCUGUCCUAAGUCGCUUCCAACAUUCUUCUAGUGCACGAUGUAGAUUGAUUAUCUGGUGGAAUUACUUAGUAAUUUAAUUAUUUGUAUGCAUUUACAAAUUAGCUUCUUAAAGUAAUGUGCGCAUGUUGUUUAUGAUUUUCUCAAUGUUAAACUUGUAAAAGUCACUUAAUAAAAAAGUUUACUAUACAUUGUUUACGAAAAAUAAAAGGGGUUCAGGCUUU